rnacentral:sRNA from 1 species
CGCCUAAACUCUAAAUAUUAUUAGGGCAUGGUGGAAGAAGAAUCCCAGUAUGGAAACGGAAGCUCUCUGUUCAGUCAUCCAUACUGGGUCACUAUUCGAAAGAGUAGUGGGCGAAAGCC